ensembl:lncRNA
UGUGUGUUAGUGUGUGAGUAUACAGUGUGUGUGUUAGUGUGUGAGUAUACAGUGUGUGUUAUGGUGUGAGUAUACAGUGUGUGUGUUAGUGGGUGAGUAUACAGUGUGUGUGUUAGUGGGGAGUAUACAUGGUGUGUGAGUAUACAGUGUGUGUUAGUGGGUGAGUAUACAGUGUGUGUGUGAGUGUGUGAGUAUAAAGUGUGUGUGUUAGUGGGUGAGUAUACAGUGUGUGUUAAUGUGUGAGUAUACAGUGUGUGUGUCAGUGUGUGAGUAUACAGUGUGUGUGUUAGUGUGUGAGUAUACAGUGUGUGUGAGUAUACAGUGUGUGUGUGAGUGUGUGAGUAUACAGUGUGUGUGUUAGUUGUGGAGUAUACAGUGUGUGUGUUAGUGGGUGAGUAUACAGUGUGUGUUGUGCUGUGGAGAAGAACUGGAAUAAAACCCCCACAGAUUCUCACUGAGGGUUUAACACGAGUCAGGAAGUCACUGACACUACUGACACUGAGACUCCUUCCAUACGUUAGUUAAAUAAACAUCUCCUCACAGAUUCACACCCUUGUGCACAAGCCGUUACUAUAGAAACCGUAACAUAUCAUACGAUAUCAGAUACUGUUACAGCUGCUGUUAUCGAAAACUAAUCACCACCUUCUGACCAAUCACAGUCCAAUAUCAAUAUCAUGCUCAUGACAUACACCACACGAUUUAAAUGAGAUGCAAACUGCCGAUGACUUUUAACAUCCUCUCUCUGUCUGUCUCUAACUACCUACCAAAGUCACGCUUCCUGGAGUGUGUGUGUGUGUGGUGGUGUGUGUGUGUGUG